UGGUUUUUAUGGAUUGUUACCUUAAAUCUAUGUGCAAUUAUUACACAUAGCCAGAGAUAUAAACAAAUUUCCCAAUCUUUAUUGUUUUUUUUUUUAUUCAUUUGAAUUGUUACUGAAGUGUAAUCCUAUGUUGCUUUUUGUUAUGUUAUGUAUACACACAUUUUAUUUCUCUUUAAGACUUUUGAUAUUUAGUGUAAAAAGUAGUUUAAAAUAUUGUAGGUAGUGACCCAAUCUUACAGAGUAGGUAGAUUCUACGAAAUCAUUAUGUACUGGUUUAUUUUGAUACAGCUUUACAUUUAAAAAUAUGAUGAAAUUGUUCUUACAACUUUUUAUGACCCAUGGCAUUUAUAUAUUAAAGGGUACAUAUUUUGUCCUGCAUAUUCAAUAACUCUUAUAGUUCAUAGGCUUAUCCCCACCCUAUUUCGCAUGAUCGACAGUUGAUCAGAGUUACCUGCCCUUUACACUUUUUUAAACACUAGAUGUUGCAUGCUUUAUAUGAAAAAGAACUUCUACUAUGUUGCUAAUGUUAUUUGUGUAUGCUGAAUUAUAAAAAAAUAAAUCUAAGGAAAAAGU
rnacentral:misc_RNA from 1 species